GUUCUUCUCAAUAAGAUAUUGCUAUGGUGGUAUGUAUAUAUCUUGCUAAUGGUAUUUUAACUUUCGAUAUGAUUAUCGUUAUAUGGAUAAUGCGGUGGAGGUGAUUGUAUAUCAAGAUAUCAUGCUAAUCGAGGUUUAGCUAUUGAUAUGGAUAUAUAUGGUCGAAAUUGUAUAUCAUGCUAUAUGUUAUUUUAGCCAAUGGUAUGCAUGCUUGUUGUAUGUUGAUUGUACCCGCGAAAGGAUUGUGGAGUGAGUCACGCCAUGUCGUAUGCCAUUCCGUCUAAUUAACGGAGGUUGGGAGCAUGGUUUGCGGGACACAAUGCCUUGGGUACAUGGGAAUGUGGCAGACGUGUCACUGCAUGCUUGUGUAGCAGGUGGCUUAGAGUGGGUCCACUAUUGGUCAAUGCCUUGGAGAGUGCUAAGACUCGUGUCGGGUGAUGUCUUUGGUUAGAUUGUUGUGUAGCUGAUUCGUCUAGAAGUUAACCUACAUGUUUUGUAACUAAUUGAAGAGAGGGAUAUUUAUUAUGACUUGUGAGUCGAGUUUUUGG